rnacentral:rRNA from 1 species
CCCCACUAUGCCCAGCCGUAAACUUUUACUUACACUCAAAUCGCCUGGGAACUACGAGCAAAGCUUAAAACCCAAAGGACUUGACGGUACCCCACAUCCACCUAGAGGAGCCUGUCCUAUAAUCGAUACCCCCCGUUCAACCUCACCACUUCUAGCCUAUCAGCCUGUAUACCUCCGUCCUCAGCUUACCUCGUGAGUGAAAUCUAGUAAGCCUAAUGCCCCCACGCCAACACGUCAGGUCAAGGUGCAGCAAAUGAAGUGGGAAGAGAUGGGCUACACUCUCUAAUAUAGAAAAUACGAAAGACUACCUAUGAAACCUAGUCAGAAGGCGGAUUUAGAAGUAAAAAGAAAAUAGCAUGUUCUUUUUAACCUGGCACUGGGGUGUGUACACACCGCCCG